rnacentral:lncRNA from 1 species
UCGUUACAGUAAUUAAUCUCACCGCCACCGCUAUUUUUAAUCUCAUCAGAAGUAAACACACUGUCCAUCCAAACUAAAUCUAAAUCUAUUUUCAAAUAAACGUAAAAGCCUUGAACAACUUUUAACUUGGAUAUGAGUGUGAAUAACAUGGAUGGAUUGAAAAAGCAUUGUAAUAGCCCAAAUUUGCCCGGCCCAAAUCAGAAGGAAAUAAACAAAAAAAAAAAACAACAACAAAUAAAAAAUAGUCCAUUUUAAAUGUCCAUUUACAAACUGUUAACCAAUUACAAGCCCAACUCAACCCUAACCCAAAAUACAUUAGCAAUACCCAAACCCGAAUAACGCAACACUAAACC